GAUUAAGCUCAGUUGGUUAGAGCAUGGUGCUUAUAACGCCAAGGUUGCAGGUUUGAUCCCUGGAUGGGACA